rnacentral:lncRNA from 1 species
AGCUCCAAUUAUCAAACAAAGCAAACAUAACAUGCUAUUUAUUUUAUAAAAUACCACAACCAUUACAAAAUUCAUCAGCCUACUUGAACCAACAAGAACAUCCCAUGGUAUAGUUCAUCCAUGACAUACCCAAACAAGCCCCAAGCAUUUCUUCCCCAAAUCAAAGAUCAAAUGCUGCUAAUGUGGUGAGUUCACAUUGCUGUGAUCUAAGUGGGAUACUUUGAUGCCUAGAGACCCCAUUAACAUAACAUCCUUAUUAAACCACUAGCUAGAAUAAGAACUCAGCAACGUACUCGCUAGACAUGCAAGAUUCUACUCACACAAGUACCACUAGAGAGACUGAAAACCUCUCUCAUAACCUCAUUACUCAGUCUUUUCUACUAGGGUUUCUGUUUCAACCUUCUCCACUGCUUCAACAGGUUUCUCUUCUCCCUUGACUUUUCUUCUUCCUUUGGAGCUUCGACUGCAACUUCAGGUUCUGGUGCUGGUGCCUGUGUCUCACCAGACUCGGUAGCCUCUUUAGCUUCUUCAACAGCCUGCUCUGCAGGUACUUCCUUUGGAGACUCCUCUUUUGUCUCCUCAACAACCGGCUCUGGUGUUUCCUUUGGUGUCUCCUCCUCUGUUUUCUCUACCACUGGUGGCUCUUCUGCAAGAAUCUUGGUCUCUUCUACCACCUCUUUAGUCUCAACUUCAGCUGGGGCCUCGGGGGCUGGUGCCACGGCCUCUUCAGAUGCUGCAGGUGUCUCUACUUUCUUUUGGCUCUUCAGCUACUGCCUCUGGUGCUGCAGCGACUGCUUCUUCUGUGGCGAUCUCAAUCUUGAUUGGUUGUUCAGUUUUCUCCUCUGCAAGUGCACUCUGCGCUGACACAACCUGCAGGAUAAACAGAUGAUUAAAGAAUGUUCACCAAAAUGCCGAUACUAUCUAUUUUUCAAGAACUCUUACUUGAAGUGUCGCAGUGAUUAAGAACAAUGUUCACCAAAAUGCUGAUGGGGUUUUACCCUUUUCUUAUAUAUAUAUAUAUAUAUAUAUAUAUAUAUAUAAUAUAGCGAUGAGGAUAUGAGAUUUCAAAUAUGAUUAUCCAAGAAGUAAAGAUCAUAAAAUUGAUCAAGUUUUUCAAAUUUUAACACUUGAUGAUAUGUAUCAAAUGACUAAGAAGAAGCAUAUAAGAAGACGACAUCUGUUAAAUAAGUUCCUCAACAGGGACAUUAAUUGAUUAAUAGUGAGUGAGUUACCUCAGCAGUGGCCAUUGGAACUGAAUGGAAAAUAAAGCAAAUGGGAUACAAAGAAAACUGUAAUUAAGAAGCAAAAUAGAAAGGAGUGAUUAUCACACAAGAAGACGAGGAAAGAUUGCUUCGAGUGUUUGGUGCAAAGUGAUCAAUGAGAGUGGGUUUAUAUAGAGAUGUAAGGGUUAGUAUAAUAUUUCUUGUAGGUUAUCCAUGAUAUUAUUAUAUUCAUGUAAAUAUAUAUUUAUUAUUAAUUAAUAUUUAAUUUAUUUUUAAUAUUUAUUUAAUAUUAUAUUAAUGAAUUUAAUAUUUGAUUUAUGAAUCUAGAGUAAUGAUAAAGUUUAUGAAAUUAUAUAGUUGUUAUAAUUAUGAGAUUUCUAUUGCAUCAAAGUAUUGUUUCUAAAAUGUUCUUGGUUGAUGCUCUCUUAAAUACUGAAUAUUAUUAGAGUUGUAGAAACUAGUAAAUAUUAUGUUCUUUCUUUUAUGAAAGAAAGAAGUUAUUCUAACAAAUUUAGAUAUAAAAGAUACAUAAAACUAAUAUGAAGGUAUUUGUCAUAAGAUAUGUACACUUGAACUGACCCACAUGAGAAUUCCAUAUGGUAAGAUCACAUAUGUAUAUGUAAAGGCUCACGUGAUAGUUAUGUAAGUGAUCACUAGACUAGAGAUCACUAGGUUAUGUUAUAUAAAAAAAUUUAUGCUUUGAGCAUGUUGCAUGUUAUCUUAAUUGAAGUAACGAAGGGGUAUAUAUUGGGUAUAUCAUGAACUAUAUGAAGGUAUUUGAAUGAUCAAGAGAGAAUUCAUCACCAUAUGUGAAUUAGAAAAAAAAUAUUUUAUUUGUUCUCAAAUAGUAUUGACUGAGAAAUCCUUGACCAAGAUGGAAUGAGAUUUGAAAAUGUUUCAAAUCUUAUUCAAACGAUCAAUGACUAUUAUGUAGAGAAUAAACAUGAUUUAACAAGGCAAACAUACUCUAUGCUUUAAUGUUAAAUCGCGAUAUUAUUGAUAAAAGGAUAUUGAUUAUACUGAGAAACCGAUCACUGAAAGGUUAAGUCAAACCACUAGUGGCUUUUUUAAUAUUUAAGAGAUCAUGACACGUUGCUAGAUAAUGCAUCUGAUCUUCAAAUACAAAUUAAUCAAUUAUUGAAUUGAUAAUAAAUUAAAUUGUUUGAUUUCUUUAAUUCUAUUUAAUUAUAAUUAUAAUUUAUAUUUGAGCCAAUCUAUUAAGAACAUAAUGAGUCACACACAUUAAGAACCAUUAGUUAAAAAUUAAACCGAGAUGAUUUAAUUAAGUAUGAUUUUAUUAAAAUAUAUUUUAGAAAUUAAGAACUAGAAUGUAAUUAAUACAUGGAUUACAUUUCUAGAUCUAAAAAAAUCAAAUAAUGACUUGAUUGAGUUAAUUUUUAAAAUUAUCAUGAAUUAAUAUAUGUAUAUUAUUCAAGGGUCAAGUUGAUAUUUUACCAAUUUAUAAUGUUUUUCAGAUUUUCUUAUAAAUAAUAAGUCAUGCUUUUUAUUUUGAGUAGUUGGAUCUAUUAAAUAAAAAAAAUUAUGUAAGUCACAAAAUAGAGAGUUAGCAUUUUAUGUAUAACAAUAUAUAUCUCUUAAAUAGGAACUUAGAAUGUUUUUUUAUUGGUUGUUCAUGUAAAUAAACGUUGAAGCCCGGAUCAUUAUAUGGCUUGUGAUUUACAACAAUCCAAUCUUUAUAUGGCUUGUGAUUUACAACAAUCCAAUCUUUAAAGAAUUAUUGAAAGUUAAAAAAAAUUAAAUUCCAAUAAAAUUCUAAAAACUUUUAAAUAAUUUUAUUUUAUAUUUCCAAUACGUUUAUAAUCCUUGAAAUCAAAAGUAACCGACCUCAAGCUCAAUCAAUUGAGUGAGGGAGCUACUUUGAGGAAUCAUGGGAUAUGUCACCUCAGCCUCACUGAAUUCAAAGGGGAUUAGCAUGUUUUGUAAUGAUGUUUAGGAAAUUUUCUUGAGAUGUGUUCAUCUAUUUUUAAUGGCUAGUUGUUUGUAUGCUUUUGAUCGGGAAAAAGGCUGAAAUAAUGGAGGUCGUCAUCUUCAUGUAACCCAUCAUCUUCUUUUGGUUGUGUGUGCUUGUGUGCUUAGUGCAGUCGGCCCCGUGCGUGACCUGUUUUCCAUCCUCCACCUGCCAUUCGUCCUUCAAACUAUUUUAUUUUUAUUUCUUGGCUUCGAUCUUGCCAAGUUGUUUACCCUAUGGUGAAUAUUGUCGCACCGCCCUCUCAACUUCAUGAUUAUAUGAAUUUUGUCUUCCCAACAUGGAAUUAAUUAGUCCCAUUAAAACCUUCAUAAUUAUAAUAUAAGAUGAUGCAUCUCACAAUAAUUUCUUGAAUUUUUUGUUUCCUGUCGAUACUGGUAAUUCAACCGUGAACGUACAAUUUAUUUGGAAGCACCAUUGAAUUGAUUUAUAUGUUGACUUGAGAAAAUAGUUGUUUAAUAAGAUUACAUAGAGAUAUAUAUUUAGUUUAUAUUCUAUAGUAUUAUCCAUAAUAACAUAAACCAAGAUUGAAAUGUAUCAACACUUGACGAUUUAGUCCAUUGAUCAACUGCAAGACUUAUCUUUGCGAUUGUCCUAGGUUCGAUCCUCAAGAGUAUCAGUUUGUCACCCCCGCGGUGCUUUACCUGCCUAUUGAGCUUGCAGGAUGUUCAGUAGGCCCUGAGAUUAGUUGUGGUGCGCGUAAGCUGACCCGGACACCCAGGGUUAUCAAAAAAAAAAAAAAUUAAAAUGUAUCAUAUGCUCUUUGUGUUAAUGUCUCACAUCAACCCGAGUUAAUCCUAUUUAAAUAAUUAUGUUAAAUAAAUUUUAUAAAAUCAUCAUUUUAAUCAUUGUGUUUUUUAAUCUUUGUCCUACUCUUUAUUUUCUUUGAAUGAUAAAAUCAUUUUAAACAAGGUUUAUCAAAUCAAGUAUUUAUAUUUUUGUCACGUAGAAUGAUUUAAUUUUUUUUAUAUAUAUGUAGUGUAUUUUGUACUAGCUAGUUUACGUAUAUUAAAUUAGAUCUCUACACUUUAAACAAGACUUAUGAAAUAAGACUUACACUCUAUGGAUCGUGACCAUCAAUAAUAGUAGGCAUAGAAAGUUAAAUUAAAGACUAUAUAGAAAGCAUGUAUUUUGGUCCAUAUCAACUAUACCAAUUCAAUCAUUCAAAACCAACAUGGAUGGGAAUCCUAAGAGUAUAAAAUCCUCAAAACACUUAAUUAUAUUGAAUGUGUUUGAAAUUAUUUUAAAAAAUGAAUUUGAAUUUUUUUAAAAUUCCCUUAUAUAUUAAUAAAAAAAAUACUUGAAAUUCAAAGAUAUUUUUAUAAAUCACACUAGCCGGCAUUCAAAAUCAAACCACCACCGCCGCACCAUCACCUCAAGUGAUGAAUUGACGUCAAAAGAAGUAAUUUUUUUAUUUUAACAUAUAAAAUUCUCAAAAAGCUAUAGACAUCAUUGUCUUUAUACUAUGUUCAUAUUAUUAUUAUUGUUGUUUUGUAUUUUUUAACCUUUUCUAAAAAAAGGAGUCCGGCCUAUGGGCCUGUGUCUCGUGGGAGUUGAAGGGUCGUCCAAAACCAAUGGUUUUAAUUUACGUAAGAGAAACGAAUAAAACUCUGACGUGGCACUUUAAGUUGAUCUACUCUCUCUAGCGUUUCUAAAGCUUGUGGUUCCCACGAGAUGGAAAGCAGAGACAGAUUUUGACAUUACUGGAGGAAGACUCGAUUAGCUGAGUUGGAGGACCUCCUAGCUCUUGAUUACGUGUCAACAGUCUUUCUUUUCCUUUUUUUUUUUUUUCCCAAACUUGCUUGAAAACUUUCAUACCCAAUACAAUAUUCAAAAUUAAAAUAUUGAUAUACAGUAAAAAUAUAUUAAAAUAAUAUUUUAUAUUUUUAAAACCAACAUAUUAAAACAAUUUAAAAAUAUUAAAAUUUUUAAUUUAAAAUAAAAAAUAAUUUCAAAAUUCGAUAAAAUACUGAUUCAACUAUAAUUCUAAAAAUAGCUUAAUAGUAAAAGCUCAAAUCAUACUUAGUUUAAUUACCAUUUAAAUGUUAUGGUUUUUAUUUAAAAAACUUUAAUUUGAAAUCCUAUAAAUGAUAUUAUUUCAUUUAUCAUUGAAUAAAAAAUUAUUUAUUUAUUUAUUUAUCAAAAUUAAUGUUAAUACCAUAAAAUCAUGAUGAUGAUGAUAAUCCGAUGAAUAUAGAAUAGUUAUCUCGUAGAUCCCCGAGUGAAUAAUACUCCUAAUUGAAAACGUCGUACGGUGGCGGGCACCAAGUUCCUGCAUCGAGAUGCAUUUGCAGCAGGGGAUAACUGAUAUCCAGCGUGUCGUUUCAUCCCCCCCGAAAAGGAUUGCCAGAAAGGCAAAGAAUUCAACAAUUCUGUAAAGGUCUGCCUUUUAGGUCUAGGUUCAGGUUUUGGGCGGUGGGCUGGCCUACCAGACGUGGAGCCCACAUGGGUUCCGUGGUCCGGCCUGCCAAUGAGGCCGUGCCACGUGAAAUGCACGUCACCCACCACGUGGGAUGAUGCUGUUUCCAUGUCAUUAUUGGAUGGGACAGGGUCAUUUGGAUGCAAGAAGAGGUGGGCCCAUUGGACGAAAUCAGGGAGCUGUUGAUAGACGACGAUGGAUGGAGGAAGCUAGGCUUUUCGGAAGGAAGCAACAUCCAGAUUGUGGUAAUCUUUCGUAACUUUUAGUUCAGAUAAAGUUUUUUUAUUAUUAUAUUUAAAGUUGUUCUUUUAAAUAUAUUAAAAUAAUAUUCAAAGCUCAAUGUUCAUUACCAAUCGGUUAGGUCGAGUGGCAAUGACCUUGUUGGCUCAUCUAGAAGGUAACUGAGUUCAACUCAGUCCAAUUUUACCUCAUGUAUUUCGCUUGUUGUUUUGGAGGUGAAAAUAGCAUACGUUGUUCACUGAGGUUUGCGUCUUCUAAUCUUUUGAUUUGCUUCAGAAAACACAAGAUGCAUGCCUGAGCGGUGCCGCAGGUUUAUAAAACAAAUAUAUUUAAUAGUGUUAUAAUUAUAAAUUAGUACUAGAUAAUAAUAGAAAUUAAAAAUAUGAUGAAGUUAAUAUUUCAUGACGAAAAAAAAAAUUGUGUUAGUGAUAAAAAACUUAGAGACUGAACAAAUAUAAUUUGUAGUAAUCCACAGUGUUUUAGGAGGAAAGAUACAGUACUUUCACCACAUGAUUUAGCUUUUCUGUUAAUAAAACGCAAAAAAAAUUACAAAGCUAAAUUCUCUACCAACUUAAUAUUUUUUUUAAAAAAAACCAACAAAGAUAAUUCUGGAAGGAAAAAAACCCAUGAGAAAAAAUAUUGCAGCAAUUGACAAUGUUUUGUGAGAAAAACUACAGUAUUGUAUGAGAAAAAUUACAACACUUUUCCCAUAUGAUUUAAGUUUAUUGUAAUUAUAAUUUUCAACCAACUUGAUAUUCAAAAAAAAAAUCAACAAAGAUAAUUUAAAAACAAAUCAUAUGGGAAAACACUACAACAAUUCAUAGUGUUUUAAAGAAAAAAAAUACAAAACUAAAUUCUUAAUCAGCUCAAUAUUAAAAAAAAAUCAAAUCGACAGAAAUAAUUUAAAGAAAUAACAAAAAAAUACAAAAAAAAGGAACACAAUGUUAGAAACACUAUAGCAAUUCAUAGUGUUUUGUGAUGAAAGCUACAGUGCUUCCUCACAUGAUUUAGCCUUAUUUAUAAUGACUUGUAAUUGUAAUUCUCAAUAAUGUUUUGUGAGGAAAACUACAGUGCUUUUCCCACAUGAUAAAGCUUUAUUACAAAGUUAAAUUAUAACCAACUCUAUUAAAAAAAAAUUGAUGAAGAUAAUUUUAGAAAAAAAUAUUACAAAAAAAAGAAAACACAAAAGAAACUGGAAAAAAAACCAUGUGAGGAAAAACUAUAAUUUUUUCCAGCUCAAUAUUAAAAAAUAAAAUAAAAAAAGAUAAUUUUGAAGGAAAUCAUUUAAAAAAAAAACCAUGCAGAGAAACACUGUAGCGAUCAACAAUGUUUUAAAGAAAAAAAUUACAAAACUAAAUUUUCAAUCAGCUCAAUAUAAAAAAAAAUCAACAAAUAUAAUUUUAAAAAAUAAAAUAGAGAAACUACAUGGGAAAACAUCGUAGCAAUCCACAAUAUUUUAAAUAAAAAAAAUUAUAAAGCAAAAUUUUUAACUAGCUCAAUAUUUAAAAAGUAAAAUAAACAAAGAUAAUUUUGGAAAAAAUAAAAUAAAUGAAAAAAAAAGGUAAAAAAGGAAAGUUGGAAAAAAAAUGAAAGUAAUUUUGAAAAAAAAAGGAAAACAAAUGGGAAAGUUGGAAAAAAAAUGAAAAGGUGCAAAAAGAAAAGAAAAGAGGAAUGCACUGUGGAUUAUUGUUGUAAUCCACAAUGUAUUUGGGUGUGGGGAAACAAUGAUUUCAAAAAAUAAAAUCAACAAAUAUAAUUUUGAAACAUAAAAAUAUAAAACAGAAAAACUAUAUGGAAAAACACCGUAGCGAUCUAUAAUAUUUUAAAGGACAAAAAUUACAAAUUAAAAUUUUUAAUCAGCUCAAUAUUUAAAAAGUAAAAUUAACAAAGAUAGUUUUGGAAAAACAAAAAAAGGAAAAAAAAAAAGAAAAAGAGGAAAGUUGAAAAAAAAAACAAAAAAGAAAGAAAGAGAAAGUUGGAAAAAAUAAAUGGAAAAGUGCCAAAAAAAAAAACAAAAAGAAAUGCACUGUGGAUUACUAUUAUAAUCCAUAGUGCUUUUAGGGGUGGGGGAAUAGUGAUUCCCUCACACCAUUUAGAGUAUUGUAAAUCAAAAGGCUUAUAUAUAUAUAUAAUUAAAUAAAUUAAGAUUUAUUUGUGCUAGUAAAUGUAAAAAAAGAAGUGUUAAUGAAUUUAUUCGACUUACCUAGCUGCAAGUCGAGUAUUUUUUUUUCUAAUGCAAAAUAAUUAUUGUUUAGGUGUCAUAACGUGUUUUUUGACAUCAGAUAAAAAAAAUAAUUGUUAAUAAAAAAAAUCGAUACUUAUAUAUAAUAACAUAUAAUGAAGAUCAUAUGCAUUAAUAAAAACAUGUAAGAUCUUAAGCUAAUUUUUAAUGUGAUAGAAAAAUAAAACAAUAUUGAAUUGCAACAUUAAAACAUCAUUUUCUUAAUCUUUGUAUAAUAAGUUUUCUAAGGAAAAGUACAAAGAAAAAAAUACUAAAAAACAAGUUAUAAAAGAAUGAAGAUAAGAACAAAGAAAAAAUGGUAUAAAUAAAUCAAUUGUAGAGUGAUAAAUAUUCCAACUAUAAAAAAUACAAAAUAAUAUUUUUAUCAAAAAAGUAUAUAAAUAAAUAAAUAAAUAUUACAAGAAAAUAAAGAUAAAAAGAUAGUGAUAAAAAUGCCAAGUACAAAGAAAAAAGAAUAUAAGAAAAACUUCUUUUCUAGAAAAAUAAAAAAUGACAGGUUUGUCACCGUCUAAGUAAAACAAUUGAUAAAAUUUACAAUUAUAUCAUUUCUACAAUAAAAUAUUAUUUUCUUUUAGCAUAUGUAUAAUUAAGUUAUCCGUAAAUAUUCUUCAAAGAUAAUUAAAAAAAUGGUAUAUAUUUUAGUUUUUUCUUUUAAAAAAGAUACACAUACAACAACAACCAGCAUUAUCAUAGUUGUUUGGAAGGUAAUAAUUACCGUGGAGGGUGAUUGGAGGAUAACUAUUACUCUAUAAAAAUACCAUUUUGGUUAUCUAAACCUAUGAAAAUAGAUUUGAGUUUAUUGAUUUCUUAAUAUGCAAUUCUCUAAAAUAAACAAGAUAUUGAUAUAGUAAUUAGAGUUAGUUAGUAAAGAACUGAUAUGUGACAAUUUAGUUACCUAUUAAUAGUUAGUUAGAAGUUAAUUAACAGGUUGUUAGUUAGAUGGUUAAUAAUUAGAUUAAAGGAAUUCAUUGUAUAAAAAUAGCAUUAUAAUAGAAAUGUGUAAUGUAAACAAUAAAGAUUAGAGUUUUUGGAAUGCAUCUUCUACACCAAUUUUUUCUUUUCUUGUAUUUUAUAUUUUUUUUCUUCUAUCUAUACAUUGAUUUGUUAAGGGGAACUUAACAAAUUGGUAUCAAAGCAUGAUUCCUAGCCAUUAUAAGCAUUUUGCAUUGUUUAACAAUGAAUAAUGGUAUAGAAUAACAAGGUGAAAGUUUUGAAGAGCAUAACAAAAAGCUUGAUGAACAAAUACAAAACAUUAAUGACCAUAUUAAAGUCAUUUGUGGCCGAUCAAACAAUAGAAAAAAAAGGAAUAAGUUCAAGUCCUGAUAGGGUGAUUCCUAAUUAUAGAGGAUGCAAUCAUAAAGAAGUCUUGGGAAUCAUGAUUUCUACAAGAUUAUUAUUAAAUAUCAAUCUACUUAUUUUUAGGGGGGUAAUCUUAAAGAGUUAGAUAAGAAAAUGUAAAAAGUUCUUUAAUAUGCACUUUACUCUAAUGCAUUAAUAGGUGGAGAUAGAUUUUUUAUACCUAAAAGGAAGGAAAACAAAUAUGAUAUGAAGGGUUUUUAAAAGGUGAAGAUGAUUUGAAAAAUUAGAAAGAAAUUAUCAAAGUUAUUUGUAUGAGAUUUAAUAGGAUAAGGUACAAUAAUUCAAUAUGUUGGUACAAGAUAAAGGAGUCGAGGAGUAUUUUGAAUUAUUUAAAGAACUUAAAUCUUUGAUAAAUGUUUUGAAUUCAUCACUGCUAGAAUCCCACUAUAUUUUCAAUUUUAUAAAUGGAUUGAAAGAUGAUAUUAAGCCCAUGCUUAAGAUUCUUAAACCCACAUCUUGAUAUAGGCUUUUGAUCAAGUUAAAUAGAAAGAAAAAUCCAACAAUGCUUUGGCCAAGAAUAAUAAAUUCAUACCAAGAACCAACUAUUCAUAUGAUUUGGGAAAAAAAAAAAACAAGUGAUUCCUAUUCUAAACCUUUUGAUCAUUAAAAAAAACAAAGGUGUUAUAUAGCUCAAAACAAUAGCCUAAAACCUUAAAUGAGCAAAGAAAAAGAUUGAGAUAUUGAUUUAAAUAUAGGAAUAAGUAUAUACUAAGACACCGAUGUAACAUGAGAGAUUGAAUAUAAUAGAAAGAUGAGAAAAGAAAAAUGAGGAAUUUAUAAAUGUAAUUGGAGGAUACAAUAAUGGAAUAAAGUCGAGGAUGAUAAAAUCAAAGAAUAUGAAUUAUCCUUGAAUGCAUUGAUAGAUAGCUAUACAACUAACACAAUCAUGAUUAAAUAUUAUUGUCAAGGAAGGAAUAUUACCAUUAUGAUUGAUAAUAGUAGUACACAUGGUUUUAUUAAUGCAUAAGUGAUUGAAGAAAUCAAGGAAAUCAUCUAAAGGACCACUAUAUUGACAGUUAUAGUAACUAAUUAAGAUAUUAUGAGAUGUGAUGCUUAUGGUCCCAAGUUCAAAUGACCCAUACAAAGUUAUGAAUUUUAAGUUGAUUUGAGGAUAUUGAAACUUGGGAAAUAUGAUAUGGUGCUUAGAGUAUAUUGAUUAAAAAAUUAUUCACCAAUUAUAUUUGAUUUUAUUAAAAGAAAAUCAUCAUUAAAAAAAUGACAAAAUAACCGGGUUGAAAGGGACUAUAGAAGAAGAAAAGUUGCAAGCGAUCAUAACAACUAAUGCACAUAAGAGUUUAAAAGAAGACUUUUAUGGUUUUGUUGGAUAUUUUUCUUUCCAUUUAAGCUUUCGAAGCACAAGAAAAGGAGCGUAGAAUAUAAUAAUAAAGGUAUUAAAUUUAUGUUUCCAAAAUCAAAACAUCUUCCAACUACCAUGAGCUUGGAUUACAAAAUACUCAUGAUACUAGAAGCUAAAUCAGUCAAUAUUAGAUCAUACAAAAUAUCUUUUAUGAAAAAAAAAAUUAGAGAAAUUGGUAAAGAAGAUGCUGCAUAAUUAAAUUAUUUAACAUAACUACAACCCAUUUUUAUUUUUUUUCAAUAUUGUUGGUUAAGAAGAAAUAUUAUUAUAGGAGAUUUUAUGCCAAGAACAAAUUCUUUACUCUAUUGAUUGAUGAUUUGGUGGAUGAAUAAACAUGGUUCAUAUUUUUUUUAUGCUAGAUUUAAGGUUUGGGUAUCACUAGGUAAUAAUGUUUGAAGAAGGUGUGGAGAAGAGAACUUUUAAGACUUAUUGUAGGCACUAUGAGUUGAAGGUAAUUCCUUUUGGUUUCACUAAUAUACUAACCAUGUUUCAAGAUUUAUUAUUUGUAUUUUGGAUUCUGAUUUUAAUUGCCUUUAUCUUUUGUAUUUUAGGUUUUUUUUUUAAUAAAUAUAGGGUUUUCUAAUCUAUUUAAAGAUUUUGUAACAACCAUCAUAAACUUAUUUUUAGAUAAUAAAAUUAUAAAUAUAAGUUCACAAGUACAUUCUUUUUCACUCAUUAAACUUGUAUGUCUUCUAUGUUAUUUUUGUCCUAAGAUGAACCUCUUAUAUAAACUGAUUUAAUAAUACCUCUUAUAAUAAAAGUGGAAAACAUUUGAGAGAAAUUGACAAGAACAUUGUACCUUCAGGCUUCAACGUUAAACACAUAUACAACAAGAAUCUGUACCUUCAGGCUUCAACUCAUUGUACCUUGCAGAGUUCAGACUGUUGCGGGCAAAGGUCCAAAGGGAAAUUUGUAGGGAUGUUUGCUUGUGGGUUUCCUCUCACAAGCCCAUAACAUGACAAAUUGAAGUAUUGAACAUAGGGUUCAUCUUUAAAAAAAAGAUUAAAACAUUAUAAAUGGCCCAUGCAGGUUUCGAACCUGCGACCUUCGCGUUAUUAGCACGACGCUCUAACCAACUGAGCUAAUAGGCCAAUCUGCUGGGUGUCUUCUAAUUAACUAUACUGAAAAUAAGUAAAUAGGUUGGAUCUAAUCCAAUUCUGCAAGCAUAUCAUUUAAAAAAUCCAUCAACUCUUUGUCCCCAUUCUGUUUCUUCUUCUUCUUCAUCUUUAGUUCAUACAGAUAACAUGGUUAGAAAUUUGAUAUUCAGUGAGCAUCCCUCUUUUUAAAGAAAGUUAAUUGCCCUAACAGCAUCGUGGUGCGUGCAGGCCAGUUCUUUGAAUGUUCUGCUUCGUUUACCUUGCUAAGAUGUAACAAUUAUAUAUCCAGCAGUUCCUAUACUGGAACAGGUGAUAGAUACGGCCAUGGUAGGCUAUCCUUCUAGCUUUUCGCCAGACCCUUGAAAUUAUCUGUUGUGGUUGGCAUAUGUUGGCCUCAUUCGUUAACAUUAUGCCAUAAGAAAAGGGAACCCACUGGAAUCUUAAAUACUCCUAUAUUGAUCACAACUGUUGACAGGAUGUAUAUAAUGAUUCACAUCCAAUAACAAUAAAGGGGUGAAGAAGAUUCAGGCAUCAUGUUUUUGACAAUGUUUAUGAAUUUGAAGCCUUUAAUCUUUGCCAGUUUUAAAGCCAGCGGUGUUUCUGUUGAUGGUCAGUGGCUUGGAAAUUAAUUGUUCGUAGAUUGGUUUUAAUAUCAAACAAAGAACUCAAGAUCAGGCAUUCAACACAACGAAUAGACUGGUAGCUGCUAAGAAGGUGGAUAGAACACAAGUUUUUUCUGCUUUCUAUCCAUUAAUAACUGGAUCAGUGUGUCACCUAUUAAGGGUUUUUUCCCCCUUGGAUUCGAGGUAAAGUAGUGAUGAUAACUGGAAAAGCAGCGUUAAUUAAAGAUAUAGAACUGGUUAGGUGAAAAGCACAUGAAGAAAUCAAGAUUUUCAACAUUUACAGGCAAGCAAUUGUUUUCCACAUCAAAAUUACAAUGCCAUAAAUGUCUCAACAUCAUCAUUUUUACAAGCAUUUGGGGUCAUAAAGUUCCAAAUAUCAUAAAACAAAAUAAUUGCUUCCAUAUACAGCUAUGAGAACCAAGAAAAUGACAAGAGUACUCUAGUUCAAUAGAAAUAAAACUCUCAAGUUCACAUACAUAAAUCAAAUGACAUGUAUAAUAAAAAAAAUGGUUUUAAAUCAAAACAAAUGACAUAAUCCAGAUAUACCCUCUUCUCAUAAAUUAAUACACGACAAUGAAAUCCUGCCUUACAAAAACAGGACCAGCACACCUGCAAUGGCUAGAACCAAUUGACUCCAGAUACCUACACCAUUGAUCCUAUAAGAAGAAUUUGGGGUGGACUUUCCUGGGGCGCUCCCUGCUCCAGCUGAGUCGUCAGAUGUUGGGGAAUCUGCAGCAGGGCUAGUGUCAGGAGCUGGUGCUGGAGCUGGGGUUGGAGGUAUAUCAGUACCAAAGAUUGCCUCAGGAAGGAGGACUUUGUCAACUUGAUAGACUGCAACAGGAUCAGUUGAAUGCACACUACUACUAACUUUAGUUUUAGACCAUCCUGAAUCAAGUUGCACGGUCCCAGAUGUAUCGGUGAAGUUCAAAGCAUAUCUUCCUGCACCAGCAAAUGUGCUAACAGGGCUCACCUGGCUAAGGUUCUUGAAAUCAGACAACGAGUAAUAAUGUGGCAAGGCAUGGAAAAGAAUGAGUUGCUUGAGCUGGUCUUGAGUUAGGUUUGACAAAGAAGGCUUCUUGAGAUUUUUGAAGGCAUCAUCUUUUGGUACGAAGAUGGUAAUGCCUUCAUCAGUGUUGUUGGCUUGGUUUUGAAAGGUGUCAAUGACUUUAGUGGAUUCAAGGUAGUUAAGGAAGUUUUGGAAUGGACCAGCAACAGAGAGUAAAUCAGUGAGGUUAACGUAUGGAGGUGAUGGUGCUGGUGCCGGGGAUGGAGUUGGGGUUGGUGCUGGAGGACUAGCUACUUUUUGAGCAUAAGCCAGUGGAGUGCACGAAAACAGCAGGGUGC